rnacentral:rRNA from 1 species
CCUACGGGGGGCAGCAGUGGGGGAUAUUGCACAAUGGGGGAAACCCUGAUGCAGCGACGCCGCGUGGGUGAAGAAGUAUUUCGGUAUGUAAAGCCCUAUCAGCAGGGAAGAAAGAAGACGGUACCUGACUAAGAAGCCCCGGCUAACUACGUGCCAGCAGCCGCGGUAAUACGUAGGGGGCGAGCGUUAUCCGGAUUCACUGGGUGUAAAGGGAGCGUAGACGGCCGUGCAAGCCAGGAGUGAAAGCCCGGGGCCCAACCCCGGGACUGCUCUUGGAACUGUGCGGCUGGAGUGCGGGAGGGGCAGGCGGAAUUCGUGGUGUAGCGGUGAAAUGCGUAGAUAUCAGGAGGAACACCGGCGGCGAAGGCGGCCUGCUGGACCGCGACUGACGUUGAGGCUCGAAAGCGUGGGGAGCGAACAGGAUUAGAUACCCUGGUAGUC